GCUUUCCUUCUGAAGCUUACCCAAGAAAGUCUUGGCAGACUCCUGUAUUUGAAAUAAGCAAAGAUUAGCUUUCUCUCCCAGUUUACUUUUCUAUGAACAUUUCCAUGGCUUUCUAAAAACAAUUACUUAACAAUAGUGUAAAAUAACUGGGGGACAUCACCUUUAGUGAUGAACGACGGAGCAUGCUGUAAGAACUCUUGUAGAAACGUUGCUGCAGAUGUGAGAAUUCAGGGAGUGAGAUGCAAGCUCAUCUCAGUGGGAAAAAGGAAUCAAUACGGGAUUAACGUGCAAAACCUAUCAUUUCAUAAAAUACUUGAAGUGUCUCCCACAAUUACCAUAGCCAUGCCUGAAAUCAUGACAUGUGAG